UGGACAUGAUGUGAAUCUCUAGCCUGACCUACUGGUGGAGGCAAAAACUGAUUUAAUGAGGCUGAUCC
rnacentral:snoRNA from 1 species